rnacentral:rRNA from 1 species
UGACUCUGGCCUGAAAUCAG